AGUGAACGCUGGCGGUAGGCCUAACACAUGCAAGUCGAACGGCAGCACAGUAAGAGCUUGCUCUUACGGGUGGCGAGUGGCGGACGGGUGAGGAAUACAUCGGAAUCUACUUUUUCGUGGGGGAUAACGUAGGGAAACUUACGCUAAUACCGCAUACGACCUACGGGUGAAAGCAGGGGAUCUUCGGACCUUGCGCGAUUGAAUGAGCCGAUGUCGGAUUAGCUAGUUGGCGGGGUAAAGGCCCACCAAGGCGACGAUCCGUAGCUGGUCUGAGAGGAUGAUCAGCCACACUGGAACUGAGACACGGUCCAGACUCCUACGGGAGGCAGCAGUGGGGAAUAUUGGACAAUGGGCGCAAGCCUGAUCCAGCCAUACCGCGUGGGUGAAGAAGGCCUUCGGGUUGUAAAGCCCUUUUGUUGGGAAAGAAAAGCAGCAGGUUAAUACCCCGCUGUUCUGACGGUACCCAAAGAAUAAGCACCGGCUAACU
rnacentral:rRNA from 1 species